rnacentral:rRNA from 1 species
AGUAUGUGGUUUAAUUCGAUGCAACGCGAAGAACCUUACCUGGUCUUGACAUCCCGGAGACCCUUAGGAAACUAGGGGUGCUUCCAUCUGGAAGAAUCUGGAGACAGGUGCUGCAUGGCUGUCGUCAGCUCGUGUCGUGAGAUGUUGGGUUAAGUCCCGCAACGAGCGCAACCCUUGCCUUUAGUUGCCAGCAGUUCGGCUGGGCACUCUAAAGGGACUGCCGGUGUUAAACCGGAGGAAGGUGGGGAUGACGUCAAGUCCUCAUGGCCUUUAUGACCAGGGCUACACACGUACUACAAUGGCCGAUACAAAGGGCAGCGACACUGCGAGGUGAAGCCAAUCCCGUAAAAUCGGUCUCAGUCCGGAUUGGAGUCUGCAACUCGACUCCAUGAAGUUGGAAUCGCUAGUAAUCGUGGAUCAGCAUGCCACGGUGAAUACGUUCCCAGGCCUU